UUAGCCUACGGGACGCAGCAGUGAGGAAUAUUGGUCAAUGGGAGAGAUCCUGAACCAGCCAAGCCGCGUGAGGGAAGACGGCCCUAUGGGUUGUAAACCUCUUUUGUCGGAGAACAAAACCCGGGACGUGUCCCGGACUGCGUGUAUCCGCAGAAAAAGCAUCGGCUAACUCCGUGCCAGCAGCCGCGGUAAUACGGAGGAUGCGAGCGUUAUCCGGAUUUAUUGAGUUUAAAGGGUGCGUAGGCGGUCCGUGAAGUCAGCGGUAAAAUUCCGUGGCUCAACCCCGUCGAGCCGGUGAAACUGGG
rnacentral:rRNA from 1 species